AACAAGCUGACAGAGCAUAGGAGCCUGUUAUCUGGGCCUCUGUAUUGCAGGGGCUCGUUCAGAAAAUGAAGAAAGACCAGAAGUGCAGCAGAGGAAGCAAAUGUUCUAUGUCAUUCAGCAAGAAAGCAGAUGGAAGCUUAGAAUCACAGCUUAUUUAAAGGACAGCUUAUAAAUAUGUGAUAGUCAGCGUUCAGUGCCCCCAAAGUCUACAUCAUCUCUACCUCAGUACCUGCAUAGGAGGCUACGAGUAAAACAACCCUGAAGAGGAGCUGAGAGUUAAUACACAGGCAAAAGCCAAGUCCAACAGGCAAAGACUCAGGAUGGUGGUUGAAAAAAUUAAGCAGAAGACAGAAGAAAUUAUAAUAAGAGUUUCAGUGAUUCAGAGAAAGCAAGAGGAUCUAGGCCAACUUUCUAAGACAAUCCCACAAUCUUUCUGUAAGAUAACUUCUGUCACUGCUAAAGAAAGAACAACACAACAGUGAUUAAUACGAGGCACCCCACACUGUGCAAAAUGAAAAGUACUGAACCUUUCACAGAGAUGGCAUUAUGACACAGAAAGAACGGGAAUACCAUGUUAUUGCUAUCACAGAAACGAAAAACUGUCAUCUGAGACACAUGAUAUUCCAUGAUGUUUCUGCAACUACGGAGAAAGAAAAUUGCCAAGGAAAGGAGGACAUGGAUUGCUGAUUACAU
rnacentral:lncRNA from 1 species